UAUUGGACAAUGGGGGAAACCCUGAUCCAGCGACGCCGCGUGGGUGAAGAAGGCCUGCGGGUUGUAAAGCCCUUUCGGUAGGGACGAAAGCUCUUGCCUUAAUACGGCAGGAGGUUGACUUAACCUACAUAAGAAGCACCGGCUAACUCUGUGCCAGCAGCCGCGGUAAUACAGAGGGUGCGAGCGUUAAUCGGAAUUACUGGGCGUAAAGCGCACGUAGUCGGCUUUGCAAGUCGGGUGUGAAAUCCCCGGGCUCAACCUGGGAACUGCAUCCGAGACUGCAUUGCUAGAGUAUGGGAGAGGGAAGCGGAAUUUCUGGUGUAGCAGUGAAAUGCGUAGAUAUCAGAAGGAACAUCAGUGGCGAAGGCGGCUUCCUGGACCAAUACUGACGAUCAGGUGCGAAAGCGUGGGGAGCAAACAGG
rnacentral:rRNA from 1 species